AACGCACCUUGCGCUCCUUGGUAUUCCGAGGAGCAUGCCUGUUUGAGUGUCAUGGUAUUCUCAACCCACACAUCCUUGUGAUGCUUGUGAGGCUUGGACUUGGAGGCUUGCUGGCCCAUCGCGGUCGGCUCCUCUUGAAUGCAUUAGCUUGGUUCCUUGCGGAUCGGCUCUCAGUGUGAUAAUUGUCUACGCUGUGACCGUGAAGCGUUUGGCGAGCUUCUAACCGUCCUGCUAGGGACAACUUACUUGACAUCUGACCUCAAAUCAGGUAGGACUACCCGCUGAACUUAA
rnacentral:misc_RNA from 1 species